GACGAACGCUGGCGGCGUGCCUAAUACAUGCAAGUCGAACGCUUUGAUUUUCACCGGAGCUUGCUCCACCGAAAAUCAAAGAGUGGCGGACGGGUGAGUAACACGUGGGCAACCUGCCCAACAGAGGGGGAUAACACUUGGAAACAGGUGCUAAUACCGCAUAAUUUGUUUUUCCGCAUGGAAGAAUAAUAAAAGACGCUUCGGUGUCACUGUUGGAUGGGCCCGCGCUGCAUUAGUUAGUUGGUGGGGUAACGGCCUACCAAGACCAUGAUGCAUAGCCGACCUGAGAGGGUGAUCGGCCACACUGGGACUGAGACACGGCCCAGACUCCUACGGGAGGCAGCAGUAGGGAAUCUUCGGCAAUGGACGAAAGUCUGACCGAGCAACGCCGCGUGAGUGAAGAAGGUUUUCGGAUCGUAAAACUCUGUUGUUAGAGAAGAACAAGUGAGAGAGUUACUGUUCUCACCUUGACGGUAUCUAACCAGAAAGCCACGGCUAACUACGUGCCAGCAGCCGCGGUAAUACGUAGGUGGCAAGCGUUGUCCGGAUUUAUUGGGCGUAAAGCGAGCGCAGGCGGUUUCUUAAGUCUGAUGUGAAAGCCCUCGGCUCAACCGAGGAAGGUCAUUGGAAACUGGGGAACUUGAGUGCAGAAGAGGAGAGUGGGAUUCCAUGUGUAGCGGUGAAAUGCGUAGAUAUAUGGAGGAACACCAGUGGCGAAGGCGACUCUCUGGUCUGUAACUGACGCUGAGGCUCGAAAGCGUGGGGAGCAAACAGG
rnacentral:rRNA from 1 species